UACAAAUCGAGGUCCAGGAUAGCCAGGGU
rnacentral:piRNA from 1 species